UACGAGUGCGUCGAGCGUUAUCCGGAAUCAUUGGGCGUAAAGCGUGCGUAGGCGGUUCUCCAAGUCCGUUGUGAAAGCCCCGGGCUCAACCUGGGAAUGGCAGUGGAAACUAGGGGACUGGAAUCUGGCAGAGGGGGGUGGAAUGCCGCGUGUAGCAGUGAAAUGCGUAGAGAUGCGGCGGAACACCGAUGGCGAAGGCAGCCCCCUGGGCUGAGAUUGACGCUCAGGCACGAAAGCGUGGGGAGCAAACAGG
rnacentral:rRNA from 1 species